AGUGAACGCUGGCGGUAGGCCUAACACAUGCAAGUCGAACGGCAGCACAGUAAGAGCUUGCUCUUACGGGUGGCGAGUGGCGGACGGGUGAGGAAUACAUCGGAAUCUACUUUUUCGUGGGGGAUAACGUAGGGAAACUUACGCUAAUACCGCAUACGACCUACGGGAGAAAGCAGGGGAUCUUCGGACCUUGCGCGAUUGAAUGAGCCGAUGUCGGAUUAGCUAGUUGGCGGGGUAAAGGCCCACCAAGGCGACGAUCCGUAGCUGGUCUGAGAGGAUGAUCAGCCACACUGGAACUGAGACACGGUCCAGACUCCUACGGGAGGCAGCAGUGGGGAAUAUUGGACAAUGGGCGCAAGCCUGAUCCAGCCAUACCGCGUGGGUGAAGAAGGCCUUCGGGUUGUAAAGCCCUUUUGUUGGGAAAGAAAAGCAGCAGGUUAAUACCCCGCUGCUCUGACGGUACCCAAAGAAUAAGCACCGGCUAACUUCGUG
rnacentral:rRNA from 1 species